rnacentral:rRNA from 1 species
UACGUAGGGUGCGAGCGUUAAUCGGAAUUACUGGGCGUAAAGCGUGCGCAGGCGGUUCGCCGUGUCCGAUGUGAAAGCCCCCGGGCUUAACCUGGGAAUGGCAUUGGAAACUGGCGGGCUGGAGUAUGGCAGAGGGGGGGUGGGAAUUCCACGUGUAGCAGUGAAAUGCGUAGAGAUGUGGAGGAACACCGAUGGCGAAGGCAGCCCCCUGGGCCAAUACUGACGCUCAGGCACGAAAGCGUGGGGAGCAAACAGG